rnacentral:rRNA from 1 species
UACGGAGGGGGCGAGCGUUAUUCGGAAUUAUUGGGCGUAAAGGGCGCGUAGGCGGCCCGGUAAGUCAAAGGUGAAAUCCCUCGGCUCAACUGAGGAACUGCCUUUGAAACUGUCGGGCUUGAGGCCGGGAGGGGGUAGCGGAAUUCCCAGUGUAGCGGUGAAAUGCGUAGAUACUGGGAGGAACACCAGUGGCGAAGGCGGCUUCCUGGUCUGCGACUGACGCUGUGGCGCGAAAGCUAGGGGAGCAAACAGG